rnacentral:rRNA from 1 species
GACGAACGCUGGCGGCGUGCCUAAUACAUGCAAGUCGAACGCAGUGGGGAUGGGUGAGUAACACGUGGGUAACCUCCCAUCAGAGGGGAUAACACUUGGAAACAGGCGCUACACCGAUAAUGAUGGAUGGACCUGCGGUGCAUUAGCUAGUUGGUGAGGUAACGGCGAACCAAGUCCACGCUGCAUCGCCGGCCUGAGAGGGUGAUCGGCCACACUGGGACUGAGACACGGCCCAGACUCCGACGGGAGGCAGCAGUAGGGAAUCUUCGGCAAUGGACGAAAGUCUGACCGAGCAACGCCGCGUGAGUGAAGAAGGUUUUCGGAUCGUAAAGCUCUGUUGUUAGAGAAGCGGUAUCUAACCAGAAAGCCACGGCUAACUACGUGCCAGCCGCCGCGGUAAUAC